rnacentral:rRNA from 1 species
CCUACGGGAGGCAGCAGUGGGGAAUAUUGCACAAUGGGGGGAACCCUGAUGCAGCGACGCCGCGUGAGUGAAGAAGUAUUUCGGUAUGUAAAGCUCUAUCAGCAGGGAAGAAAAUGACGGUACCUGACUCAGCAGCCCCGGCUAACUACGUGCCAGCAGCCGCGGUACUACGUAGGGGGCCAGCGUUAUACGGAUUUACUGGGUGUAAAGGGAGCGCAGACGGCUUUGCAAGUCUGGCGUGAAAGGCGGGGGCCCAACCCCCGGACUGCUCUGGAAACUGUAAAGCUGGAGUGCAGUAGAGGUAAGCGGAAGUCCUGGUGUAGCGGUGAAAUGCGUAGAUAUUAGGAGGAACACCAGGUGCGAAGGCGGCUUACUGGACUGCAACUGACGUUGAGGCUCGAAAGCGUGGGGAGCAAACAGGAUUAGAUACCCGAGUAGUC